GACGUAGGGCGCGAGCGUUGUCCGGAUUUAUUGGGCGUAAAGAGCUCGUAGGCGGCUUGUCGCGUCGGCUGUGAAAACCCGUGGCUCAACUGCGGGCUGGCAGCCGAUACGGGCAGGCUGGAGUUCGGUAGGGGAGACUGGAAUUCCUGGUGUAGCGGUGAAAUGCGUAGAUAUCAGGAGGAACACCAAUAGCGAAGGCAGCUCGCCGGGACGGUACUGACGCUAAGGCGCGAAAGCGUGGGGAGCGAACAGG
rnacentral:rRNA from 1 species